GCAGGCGGAAGCGGCCUGGGGCGGCCAGCGGGGCUCAGGGCCGAGUCCGGGAGGGCGAGGACGUGCUGGCCACCUUGAAGACCCUCGUGGCCCGCCAGAGUGGAUGACUGUCUGGAUGGCUUUAAUGAAGUCUCUCCCCCUCCAGCGGGAAGCCUCCGGUGUUGCUCCUCUUGGCCACGGCUUUGGCUAUGCCAGCAGUCUUCGAAGAUGAAAGAGGUUUGUGCAAGGCUUUCUUUGAUCCCUCUUUUUCUGCCCAUACCCAGCUUUUAAGCACUGCUAAUUGCCAACUGAUUGCUCCAUUGUUUUCACCAGUGUCUUGAGGCAAAAAUUGCUCCACAAUUAAUCCAAUCAAACUUUGCACCUUUGAAGAUUUAGUUGCAGAAGGCAGUAUCUGAGAUUCUAACUCUGGUUGUUUUCCCAACUGGAAACUUUCCCAAGUUCUCCCUACCUUUUAGCCUAUAUGAAUGAAUCUAUCAGUCUCCUCCCAAUUUUUUUUUUCUUUUCUCACAACUUCCACCAAUUUUGGGUAUGCCCUUAGGGUUGAACUUCUCCACACUCUGUUGCAAAUGAAGAAAGUUCUUUGCGGGAGGGGAAGAUUUAGAGCUCUGUCUUGUACAGCCCCCUUCCAGCAAACUCUCAGAGGCCUGGCUCUGCGCUGGGGUGGGGACAGUGGUAGACUUCUCUCUGACUGAGCCUCCCUUUUGGAGCCGAGACCUCGAUGGAUGAAAGCAGCAGUCUCCAGUGUCCUGCACUUGGCUUCCGUUAGCAUGAAAUCCUUGCUCCAUGGACCAUCAAGGCCAGUUAGGGCCCAGUGGUCUGGAAAUCAGUUAAGGUUAGGCCUCCAAAUUUGUUUUUUAAUUGCACUGAAUAUUCUAAAACCAUUGCAUUUUCUUGUUGAAAUAGCACAAAAAUGCCUACUGGGAUUUUGAUUUGAAUCCCAUUGACUAGAAUAAUUUGGGGAGAAUGGCCAUUUUAUCAAUUUUGAGUCUUCCAAUCCCUGAAUGUAGUAUUUCUCUCUGUUUAUUUGAAAAAUUUUUUAAAGGAUUUAUUUAUUUGAAAGAGUUAGAGAGGCAGAGGCAGAGAAAGAGAGAGAGAGAGGUCUUCCAUCCGCUGGUUCACUCCCUAGAUGGACACAACAGCUGGAGCUUGGCCAAUCCAAAGCCAGGAGCCUGGAGCUUCUUUGGGUCUCCCAUGUGAGUGUAGGGACCCAAGGCUUGGGCCACCCUCUACUGCUUUCCCAGGCCACAGCAGAGAGCUGGAUCAGAAGUAGAGCAGCCAGGACUGGAAUUGGCGCCCAUAUGGGAUGCUGGUACUGCAGCCGGCGGCUUUACCCGCUACGCCACAGCUCCAGCCCCUUUGAACUUUUCUAAUAUCUUUCAGCAGGGCUUUAUAGUUUUCAGUAUAUGAUCAGGAGGAUUUUUGGGGUUUUUGUUUGUGUUUUCUAUUAUUGGGUGGGAAUUAGAAAAAAAAUUCAUUUUCCAAAUUUUUGUUGCUAGUAUAAGUAUACUUCAAAAAUCUGUGGUAUGGGGCUGGUGUUGUGCCCUAAUGGGUUCAGUCACCGCCUGCAAAGCUGGAGAUUGAGUCCCAGCUGCUCCACUUCCCAUCCAGCUCCCUGCUAAUGUGCCUGGGAGAGCAGUGGAAGAUGGCCCAAGUCCCUAGUUCCCUGAACCUACGUGGGAGGCUGGAUGAAGCUCCUGGCCCAGCCCCAGCCAUUGUGGCCACUUGGGGAGUGAACCAGUAGGUAAAAGGCCUCUCUCUGUCUAUCCCUCUCUCUAACUCUGCCUUUCAAAUAAAUAAAUCUUUUUAAAAAAUCCAUAGAAAAUGAAAUUAAGAAAUUUCUGUGUGAAAAGAAAUUGAGAUUCAUGCAUACAAGUGGUUCCCAAAAUGUUUAUGAAAAAUGUGUAUUAUGAAAAAAUACAUGCAUGGAUUUCAAAAUCAUUUUGUACCAAAAGAAACUUACCUUUUACUUUCUUCUGUAAAAUUAAAAAAAAUAUUUAUGUCAGAGAGAGAAGGAGAGCAAAUGUGCGUGACAGAUAUAUACACAGAGGGAGCGAGAGAGCCCCCAUCCCCGGGACCACUCCCCAAGUGACCAAGACAGCUGGAGCUAUGGGUGAGGCCAACGCCAGGAGCCAGAACUCAAUCUGGGUCUCCCACGUGGGUGUCAGGAACUCAGUUACCUGAGCCGUUACCGGUCUUUCCCAGGGUCUUUAUUAGCAGGAAACAGGAAUCAGGAGCUAGAGCCGUGUAUCCAGCCCAGGCACUCUCGUGUGGGACACGGGCAUCCUAACCAGUGGCUUAACCAGUAGACCAAACACCCACAUCCAUUUUAAUAUAGUCAUUUUGAAGCACCCUUGUGUACAAAAACCUCAUAUCAUGUGACCUUGCUAAAUUUGUUUAUAUUCUAAUAGCUGGUUUGCAGAUUUCCAGAGAUUUUCCUACAAAAACAAAUCAUAUCAUGUACAAACAGGAACCGUUUUACUUCUUCCACUAUUUAUGCCUGCCUGCCUGCCUUCUUUCCUCCCUCUCUCCUUUUCCCCCUUUCUUUCUCUUUAUCCCAAUGGGUGGGACUGCCGGUACAAUACUGAAUAGAAUUGAUGAAAAAAAAUUCUGUUUACCCUUUCAAUAAUGUUCCUUUCCUUUCCUUUCCUUUCCUUUCCUUUCCUUUCCUUUCCUUUCCUUUCCUUUCCUUUCCUUUCCUUUCCUUUCCUUUCCUUUCCUUUCCUUUCCUUUAAAGCUGAGCUUCUUGGAGAAUAGCUUCUUCUUUUGCCUGUCUGUGUACCUCCUCGUUCACUCUUUAGCCUACUCAUUAUCUACAGUACUGUAUACCAGUUUCUCAAAGGGCCUAAUGAUCUUUUCAUAGCAAAAUCCAACAAGCCUUUCACAGUACAUGUGUUUCUGGUCCUUCCUAUGCAUUUAUCCUUGUCCUUAAAGCUCUCCUUUCAUGGUUCCCAGUCUUACCAUGAAUUCCUUUAAGCUUCCAUCAUGGCCAUCUCUUUUUCUGUUUGCCUCUUGGAUUGUUGACCAUCUCUCACUCACUCAGACAGUUCCCAGUGGUUCCCCUCUUUUCACCCUGUGUGCUCUCUUGGGGAGCAGUUGCAUUCGCUCCCAAGAUUGCAGAUCAACAUGCAUGUUGAUGAUUUCUGUAUCUCUAUUUCUAGUUCUAAACUCUCACCUUCCAAACCUGCUAUCCAGCUGCCUAAUGAAAUUUCCUUCUAGGAUGUUCCAUGGACAUCUGAUAUUUAACAUACGUAAGACUUAGCUUAUUAUUCCUUCCUGUGUUCAACCUCCAUCUUUUCCUAAAUGUCUGGGAAAGAAAAAAAAAAAAAACAGUAGAGGGCAUGGCUGUUUGGCCCAGUGGUUAAGAUGCAUAUUCCCAAAGCUGAGUGCCUUUGUUUGCUUCAUGGAUUUAGCUAUUGAUUCCAGCUUCCUACCAGUGCAGACCCUGGGAAGCAGCAGUGAUGGCUCAGGCAAUUGGGUUUCUGCCUGAUUGGGAGACCUGGAUUGCAUUCCCGUCUCCUAGCUCCAGCUCUGGCCCAGCCCCAGCCAUUGCAGGCAUUUGGGGAAUUAGUCAGCAGAUGGGAAUUCUUUCUGCCUCACUCCUACCCCUCUCAGUUUUCCAGAUGAAAGAACAGAGCACACUGCCCUAGAAAGAGAACUGAAGAUCUCAGAUAUUUCUGGUGCUUCAUCUCCAUGCAGCCUGCUCAUUUCACAAAUUAGGGGGGGGAAAGUAGAAAUUCUUGAAAUGUUAAGGCUGUUUAUUGACUUUGCAUGCCCAUGGUAUUCCUGCUGCCGGAAUGUUCUCUUCCUUUCCCUUUAGCCUGGUUCAUAAACAAUUCAGUCAUUGCCACUAAGACACCUCUCCUAACUAGCCAUAACCCAACCUAGCCAACUGAACUAGGAAUUGAGCUCUGUACCUCCAGUGGACUUCUUUCAAAGUCUAUAAUAUAUUUUUGAGAUAUGUAUUUGUUUAUAUGGCUGUUUUCCUCUAUUAGAUUAAAAAACCUAGGUUUAGUCUCCUAAGAUAUUCCUAGAUCCUGCCAUAGUGCCUGGCCCUGAACAGGUGCUCAUUAAAUAUCUAUGGUUUUACAAAUAAUGCAGUCAAGCCCAGAGUUAGUAAAGUGUAUCCAUCCAGAUGAAUACACACUCAUAUCGUGGUACUCUAGUGGAAGAAGACUGUGAUGACAAAACAUGGGUGACCUGUGACAGCAUCUGUGAAAGAGGUCAUCUCCAAAUACGUUUCAUGUUGUCUCCAGAAAUUUCAAGAGAAGUAGAUAAAUGCCUCUUGAAUCCAACCAAUUCCCCUUUCUCUAAUUCUGUGUUUAUCAGGUGAGCAGAUUAUCUUACUAUGAAUAUCUUCCUAUAGACAAAAAUAUCCAAAACAAAAAAACAAGCAAAAAUGGAUGAGUUAGAAAAAUUGAGAAUCCAGUUUGUGAGAAGUUAUAAUUCUCUUUGUAAAAGAAGUAAUUGGCAUUUCUGCUCUUUGGGUUCAAGUGGAAUGAAUUUAACUCCCUGGAUAGUCUAACAACACUGCUCUUGGCUUCAGAGCUAAGCUCAGGAAUGGAGCAAGGUCUCUCCGUGUCACCUAUGUGUUUCACCUGCCAAACCCAAGCCGCACCUGGUGUGCUUCACGGGACUUGCUUGCUAAGGCAUCAAAGAACUCCCCAGGAAAGCCUGGGGGCCAUUUGAGGUUUGCCCAAUAUUGUGUAAUUGGAUUACCUGGAUUGUCAGACCUUUUCAGGUAGAAGCAGAGCGGGACCGGUCUAGCAGUGGCUGGUGCUACAGUCGAGAGCGAACUCUCAUAAAGUUGGACCGAAAUGUGAGAAGAGGUUAUGAGGAUAAUGAAGGAUGGGCAAAGACAUGCAAGGGCCAGAAGGUACAGCUGUAACAUGGGAUAGUAAGCAGCGGAUGAAAGGUAGCAAAAGGCGGUAAAAGCUGGCGAGGUGAUGACUUAGGAGGAAGGGAAGGGUCAGUGAGAGUGGGGGAGUGAAAAAGCAGCAGAACCAAUGAGUUGUAUUUGUGCCCAGUUUCCCCCAGCGAUGAUGUAUGUUCUUUGUAACCUCUAAGUGUGGAAAGUGGGUUGUGAGGAGGGGGCUUCUUUGCUACAGACAUCACCCUAGGCUGUUUGGAUAAGGUACUUAUCCUCAGUUGCCUUGGGUUUCUAACCCAGUGUGAACUAAGAUUAAGAUUUAUUCAUUCAAGUGUCAGUUAAAACUACUGUGUGCCAGUAGGGAUGUGACCAUGAGUAAGAUGAACAGAGGGGUGUUAAUAGAUCAAGUUAACUGUUACUGUUUGGUGUGAUAAGCGUGAGGAAAUGCAAUAUGCACAAGAUGUUAUGGGAGCAAAGUAGAAGGGCAUCUAACCCAGACUGAGUGGCUCCCCCCAAAAGGAUCCUUAUUAGACUGGAAUUAUUAGGAUAAUAGGAUCUUAUCUCGUUCAUCAGUCUUACAUCUCUAGAACCUGUAAGUCCCUAGUAUGUGAUAGAAGCUGAAUAAAAAAUGAGUAGACUGACUGGACUAAUCAAAAUCAAUCUUAACUUCAUUUACUUGACACAAAAAUAGUCUCAGUGAGAGAUGCUGUCCCAAAUCCCGUUGUUCAACUCUUAAAGUUUCCUUAUAAGAGAACAGAUUGAUCUGGAACUACUGAUUAAUUAAUCUGAUAUUUACUUGCUCUUAAAGUGUCGUGAGUACUAAAACUUUAGUGUGAACUUUCAUGUAUUUGAGACACCUAGUAGAGUCAGUACAAUGUCAAGAAGGUAUUCAACAUUUCUUACAAGAAUUAGGGUGACAGGGGUGGGUAUUUGGUCUGCUGGUUAAGACAAACUGUUGAGAUACCCACAUCCAUGUCAGAGUGACUGUGUUUGAAUCCUGUCUCUGCUCCUGAUUCCAGCUCUCUGCUAAUGCGCACCCUGGGAGGCAGCAGCUGAUGGCACAAGUAGUUGGGUCCCUGCCACCGACAUGGGAAACUUGGACUGAGUUCCCAGCUCCUGACUAUGGCCUGGCUCAGCCCUGACUGUUGUCAGCAUUGAUGGCGUGAACAACCAGCUGGGAGGUUUCUCCUGUCUCUUUCCCUCUCAAAUAAAUAAAUAAUUUUUUAAAGAUUACAAAAAGUAGGGAAACAGUGUGCAUUGCCCUGCAUUGCCCACAGAAAAAUUGUAGUAUCAUGUAAGUGGAGCUUCCACAAUGCAGUGAAGCAAGUCCCUGCUCCUAUGUGGGUUCUUCCAGAAUAUACCUGUUGUGGUUAAACUAGAUAUUUACAGACUGUCGAAACAACUAAGGAUCAGUUGAUUUUUAUCUGCAGUUCCCUCUGUGUACCGCAGAGAUUAGCUGCCAACUCUCCUACUCCAGGUGACUGGCAUUUGGAAAGGAGACAAAACAGUGGUUCCAUAGGGACUGCCUUUGUCAUAAAGCUCCCAUGAGUGGUGUGAUGAGUCUGACAACAACAUUUCAAAUGAGAAGACUUGACUGCUAUGUGACCUGGGACAAGUCAGUUCAUCUUUCUGAGCCUGUUUCCUGAUGUAUGAAAUGCAGAUAUUGAGAUUCUUACCCAACCUCAUGGAAGUACUGUGAAGAUCAGAUAGAUAACAUAGGUGGAAAGAACAUUGAAAACUGUAACUAGCAGUGUGGCUGUUGACUAUUAAAAUGGUAUGAUGAAUGGAGAGUGAAAUUCAAAGUGCUGACUAUGAGCAUGGGCUGUGAUGAGCAGUCUUGAAUAUUCUGUAUUCAGUUCCAGAGCCCUUGACUUACUAACACUUCAGUGCUUAGGGUAUUGAAAAGAAUCUCUUGGAACUGUGGCAUAGUGGGUUAAGCUGCUGCCUGUGGCACUGGCAUCCCAUGGGGACACCGGUUUGAAUCCUAGCUGCUCUACUUCCGAUCCAUCUCCCUACUAAUGCACCUGGGAAAACAGUGGAAGAUGGCCCAAGUGCUUAGGUCCACAUACCCACAUGGGAGAUCUAGAUGACGGUCAUGGCUCCUGGCUUUGGUCUGGUCCAGCCUGGCCCUUGAAGCCAUUUGGGGAGGAACCAGCAGAUGGAAGACCUCUCUCUUUCUCUCCCCCCACCCCCGCUCUGUAACUUUGCCUUUCAAAUACAUAAAAAAUAAA